CGUCGUCUCCCUCUUAUUGCUGCUCACUCUCUCUUCCUUCACCAUCUCUUCUCUCAUCGAACACCACCACCGGCCGUCCCAGAUCCGACGCCAUCACCACCUCCACCGGUUCUCUUCCUUCACCGGUUCCUUCACCAAUUCUUUUAUGCUCACCGACAUAACCCAACUGAGAUCUAAGAUCAACAUCCCAAAAUCACUACUUUAUUACUAUAUCCAUCAAAAUUAAAAUUAUUGCAAUAUAUCUCAAAUUUUUGUUGUUCCAAUCCAUUUACAGUAGUUGAGCGCUCUCAUAGAUAGUGGUGGAAUUCUUUUGGAAUUGGGGUUUCAUUUUGUUAACUAUUGAGAUUAUUAUGCAACAUAUGCAAAU
rnacentral:lncRNA from 1 species